AGUUUGAGAUAAUUCAGAUUCUUGUCAAGGAGUGCAAUAAGAUCGAAGGUCACGUCCAGCAGAGGGUUAAGUUUUAGAAGCAACUACCCUGCACUGGUUAAUAAUAUCUGUGAGGACCCAAGUUGGUCCCAGUCCUCUUCGAUUGGUGCUCUGUCCCUGUGAUUUGAGGAAAGUUUCAGUACAACACAUUGUAUUUUGAUUAGUGAAUGAAGCAUUUAGACGAUAUUGUUGCAGGUGUGCAUUCUCUUUCUUACAUUUGAUUUAAGCUUUCUUAUUUGAGCUUUAUGAUACUAUGUACUCAAUACUUGUGCUCUUCUAAGAUAGGUUGAGCAGAUAGUGGUUGAAAGGUCUGAAGGUUGGCAUUGUGGAUAUUUUUGCUAUCUUGCAUGGAUUCCCAGACAAUGUGAGGACGAACCAGAAGGGCGAGUUCUGGGUGGUGAUCCACUGUCGGAGAAGUAUGUAUCCUCGGCUAAUGAGCUGCCAUGUCAAGCUGAGGAAGUUUUUGCUCAGCUUCCCAAUCCCUGCCAAGUACCACUACCUGAUGCAUAUCGAUAGCAAGCUCUACGCGUUGAUCAUCAGGGACAGCCCGAUGGCCAGAUGCUUCACAUCAUGGAGGACGACAAGGGAGAGGUGGUGAGAGUUAUCAUCGAAGUGGAGGGUCCGUCUGAUGCCAUUCAUCGCUGUCUUUGACCUCGUGAAGGCGUCUUAGCCACUUCAAUUUGAUUGGAAAUAUUGUUGUUUUAAGAUACGGGUCCAUGGUUAAUGUUGUACGCUUCUCUGAGAAGACCUGUCAUUCCAAUAAUUUGGUUCUGGAGCAA